rnacentral:rRNA from 1 species
CCCUUAGAUGUUCUGGGCCGCACGCGCGCUACAUUGAUGCAUUCAACGAGCCUAUCCUUGACCGACAGGUCCGGGUAAUCUUUGAAUCUGCAUCGUGACGGGGAUAGAUUAUUGCAAUUAUUAAUCUUCAACGAGGAAUGCCUAGUAGGCGCAAGUCAUCAGCUUGCGUCGAUUACGUCCCUGCCCUUUGUACACACCGCCCGUCGCUCCUACCGAUUGGGUGUGCUGGUGAAAUGUUCGGAUCGGCCGUUUGUCGCGGUUUCCGCGUCAUGUGGCUGAGAAGUUCAUUAAACCCUCCCACCUAGAGGAAGGAGAAGUCGUAACA